ensembl:lncRNA
GAGAAAGAAAAAAAAAACAAACAGUACUGACUGCAUCUUGAUCUUGUGAUGCGUUUUAUGGAACACACUCUCUGAUUGUGCGAGCCCUUGUGUUUUUGGGUGUUAAAUUGUAGUACCAUAAAUCUAGUUCUUGACAUCUUUUAUUUCAAGAGUAACGAUUUCAGACUUGUGAUUGGAAUCAACCAUUUCUUCUGCCUAGUAUUUUCUUAUUUCUCUGAUUUUUUAAAAAAAUUUUGUUUACUUUUUACCAAUAUUCAUUUUCUCCUUGAUACUGAAUAUAAAAGUAUUCAUAUUCACUCAUGUUAUUCAUUAUUUCCUUCAUUUGAAUCACGUAUUUGAAGUUUUUUUUGUUGUUUUUUUUGGUAUUUAUGCAAAAACAGAAAAUCAAGAUUAAUCAUCUCCAGAGAAACUAAGAAAAAAAGAUGAAAGCAAAAAGCAGUUCUAAAAUGUGUUGAUUCUACAUGUACUUCCUGUGAAACAGAAUUGUUUGCCUUUUCUGUAUGUAAAGUCAUUGUGAUGGAUUGCUGAUGCUGCAUGAUGGCAGCGAGACAAUCUUAGCUGUGAGGUCUAGUGUCGUGAGUGGUUAUGGCAGUGGUGCUGUCACGACUGUUUAAGAACUACAGGUACCUUGCAAGUCUUGGUUUAAUUACAUGAUUUGGUCUAGGUGGUUUGCAGAUGUCUUCUCUUUGUCACUGAAGGAAAAAAAAAACCCCAAAUUCCUAUUUUUGAUAGUGAUAAAACUGUAAUUGCAAAGUGUGCCAUUUUAACAUCUUCCCCACCAUAGGCUUCUACAUUUGGUCCAUGGGAGGAGACAAAAAAAAAAAUUUACAAAAAUAUGCACAAAAAUGAGACCAUUUUUAUGUAAUUUUAAUGGUUGCAGUUACCUCAUACACCCGUACAUUCCAAAAUGAAAAAUUUGUUAUACUAUACAUAGUACCAGACAUAUCACUUUAAAAUGUUCGUUAUGAAUUCAGAAGUGUAUACUCAUAAAUAUGUAUCUAAAGUGUAUCUGUAAAGUCAUGAUAUCUACAGAAAGAACCAUGCACAAUAAAAGUU